rnacentral:rRNA from 1 species
GACGAACGCUGGCGGCGUGCCUAAUACAUGCAAGUAGAACGCAGUUGCGAACGGGUGAGUAACGCGUAGGUAACUGCCUCAUAGCGGGGGAUAACUAUUGGAAACGAUAGCUAAUACCGCAUACUGUGAGAUGGACCUGCGUUGUAUUAGCUAGUUGGUGAGGUAAAGGCUCACCAAGGCGACGAUACAUAGCCGACCUGAGAGGGGGAUCAGCCACAACAGGACUGAGAACAGGCCCAGGCACCUACGGGAGGCAGCAGUAGGGAAACUUCGGCAAUGGACGGAAGGCGUGCCGAGCAACGCAGCGAAAGUGAGGAAGGUUUUCGGAUCGUAAAGCUCUGUUUUUAGAGAAGCGGUAACUAGCCAGAAAGGGACGGCUAACUACGUGCCAGCAGCCGCGGUAAUUC